UACGUAGGGUGCAAGCGUUAAUCGGAAUUACUGGGCGUAAAGUGUGCGCAGGCGGCCGAGCAAGUCGGUUGUGAAAGCCCCGAGCUUAACUUGGGAACUGCGCUCGAAACUACUUGGCUAGAGUGUGGCAGAGGGAGGUGGAAUUCCACGUGUAGCGGUGAAAUGCGUAGAGAUGUGGAGGAACACCGAUGGCGAAGGCAGCCUCCUGGGCCAACACUGACGCUCAUGCACGAAAGCGUGGGGAGCAAACAGG
rnacentral:rRNA from 1 species